CAAGUCGGAACGCGGUCCAACCGGUNACCAAUACUGUUGAAGACCGANUGNCGAACGGGUGAGUAGCACGUGANCAACCUGCCCCGAAGACCGGGACAACACCGGGAAACCGGUGCUAAUACCGGAUAUCCCCACCGAGUCGCAUGUUUCGGUGAGGAAAUGGAUUCCGCUUCGGGAGGGUCUCGCGGCCUAUCAGCUUGUUGGUGAGGUAACGGCUCACCCAGGCUUCGACGGGUAGCUGGUCUGAGAGGACGAUCAGCCACACUGGGACUGAGACACGGCCCAGACUCCUACGGGAGGCAGCAGUGGGGAAUCUUGCACAAUGGGCGAAAGCCUGAUGCACCAACCCCGCGUGAGGGACGAAGGCUUUCUGAGUUGUAAACCUCUUUCAGCAGGGACGAUGAUGACGGUACCUGCAGAAGAAGCCCGCCA
rnacentral:rRNA from 1 species